rnacentral:rRNA from 1 species
CUGUGAAGAUGCAGUGUACCCGCGGCAAGACGGAAAGACCCCGUGAACCUUUACUAUAGCUUGACACUGAACAUUGAGCCUUGAUGUGUAGGAUAGGUGGGAGGCUUUGAAGCGUGGACGCCAGUCUGCGUGGAGCCGACCUUGAAAUACCACCCUUUAAUGUUUGAUGUUCUAACGUGGACCCGUAAUCCGGGUUGCGGACAGUGUCUGGUGGGUAGUUUGACUGGGGCGGUCUCCUCCUAAAGAGUAACGGAGGAGCACGAAGGUUGGCUAAUCCUGGUCGGACAUCAGGAGGUUAGUGCAAUGGCAUAAGCCAGCUUGACUGCGAGCGUGACGGCGCGAGCAGGUGCGAAAGCAGGUCAUAGUGAUCCGGUGGUUCUGAAUGGAAGGGCCAUCGCUCAACGGAUAAAAGGUACUCCGGGGAUAACAGGCUGAUACCGCCCAAGAGUUCAUAUCGACGGCGGUGUUUGGCACCUCGAUGUCGGCUCAUCACAUCCUGGGGCUGAAGUAGGUCCCAAGGGUAUGGCUGUUCGCCAUUUAAAGUGGUACGCGAGCUGGGUUUAGAACGUCGUGAGACAGUUCGGUCCCUAUCUGCCGUGGGCGCUGGAGAACUGAGGGGGGCUGCUCCUAGUACGAGAGGACCGGAGUGGACGCAUCACUGGUGUUCGGGUUGUCAUGCCAAUGGCACUGCCCGGUAGCUAAAUGCGGAAGAGAUAAGUGCUGAAAGCAUCUAAGCACGAAACUUGCCCCGAGAUGAGUUCUCCCUGAGACUUAGAGUCUCCUGAAGGAACGUUGAAGACGACGACGUUGAUAGGCCGGGUGUGUAAGCGCAGCGAUGCGUUGAGCUAACCGGUACUAAUGAACCGUGAGGCUUAACCUU